UCCAAGCCAGGAAGCCCAGGGCAUGCCCCUUCUAAACAAAGGCCACUCAUUUCUUUAAUUUAAACAGAAGGGAUUUUGUUUCUGGCUUCCUUCUGAGGCGCUGGUGACUGGGUGGUACUGCAGCUGCCGUGUCUUCAGGAUUCACAGAAGAAUUUUGGUUAGGAACACGAGAGCCACACGAAGAUUGCGGUUUCCAAGUUGGAGGGCUUGGGAAGGGGAACAUCAUACUCGGAGUUCUUGAGGUUUCCAGUGUUCAAGGCACCCAUCUGCUCACCCAGAGCUGGAAGCCUAUUACAAGGCAGCCCUUGUUAUGUUUAGAAUUUAAGAUGAUAUUUUUUCUAUUUUAGUUAAUGGCCUGAGAAUGAGAUUUUGGUUGUUGGCAAUAAAUUGCAUAUUCGGGGAUAUUGGUGCAGAGGGACUCUAAUUCAGUCUUUUUAUAGUAUCCUUUCCCCCCUCUGGUCUGGAGAAUUCUUUUAAGGUGGUGGGGGUGAUUAAUGACCCCAUGUGCCUGUGUGCACACAGGGCCCACGUGUCCUCAAAAUGAGGAGCCCAGGGAUACUGGAGACCACGCCUAUGGCAGAGGAAGGAAUCAGAACACCACACUCUCUGCCAAGUUCCACCCCAGUGCAAACAGGGAUGAAUAGAUUAGCGAUGGAAUGUGCUCCAGGCUGUCCUCAGAUGUACAAGCCCAGCAUCCUUCCUCCUGGCUCAGAUGUAUAAAGGAGACAGGAGGCAUAGAAAAAAAUCCCUUCCCUCCUCCUCUUCUUCCUCUUCCUCCUCUUCAUCUUCUUCCUCCUCUUCUAUUUCUUUUACUUUGAAAUGAAAAUGCCUGUUGCUUAAGCAAUGGAUCAGACACUAGAUGGCAGAGGAUGGAAGCUAUGUGACAGUCAAACUUCAUCACUGGGACAAAAUGCCUGAGGAAGUAAAGGAACCUGCAGGAAGAAAGAUUUUGGCUCACAUACUCAGAGGUUUCCAUUUGUGUUCAAGCUGCAGGGCUAAUGCCCUGUGGUAUCUCCUCAGGACAAGCAGGAAGCAGAGAAAGCAACAGAAAGAUGAGUAGGCUCUACUUCCUAACAGUGCACUCGACUAUGAACUUAUCAACAAACUGAUCUACUGAUAGAAUUAGCAUAGUCAUGACUCAGUACCUCAGUGUGCCACUAACUGGGAACCAAGGUUUCAAUACAGAAGGCUUUUGAAGAUAUACCUCAUAUCUAAGUCAAAAUAAGAGGGAAUUCUUGUUGGGUGCUCCCGCACUGCCGAGCAGAAAGGUAAGGUCUUCCAGCCCACACUGGAAAGAGCCAUAAUUGUGAUGAAUCUUGCAAAGCAGAUAUCAUAUGUCUAGACGGUCUAGAAGAUAUCACAUGUCUAGAAGGUCUAGAAGUUAUGAGAUCUGACUCAGCUCAGAAGACAGAACAGGAGCCAUGAAUAAACAGAGGAUGGUCUAGAUAGAGUAAUCUUUACAUGUCCAGUGUGAGUUUCAAUUCACUUCUACUGAAAAUGAGGCUAUGGGGUGUUCUUAAGCAGGAGAUAGGACAGACACUUGAGAGUUGUACACACUCUGUGGCAGGAGUGUGUAGGGUAGAGCGGAGCAUUGAGAUUCACACAUUAACUAAGACAGUCAGCAGAGGAAGAGUGGAAACCCAUUUGACCUUAGUUUACAUGUAACAAAAUAGAGUAACUGCAGGCUUGUGAAAUCUCCCAGAGAAGGCUGAUGGUAUGUAAAUGGCUUUCGAGAGCUGUUUGCCUUUAUUCCACAUUGGAAGACCAAAGAAAUUAGGUUUUGAUGGCAGCAGUGGCAGCAGCAGCAGCAGCAGCCAACAACAACAACAGCAGCAGCAACAGCAGCAGCAACAGCAGCAGCAACAGCAGCAGUAACAACAACAUGAUAGAUGCAUUUGCCAGCAAAGAGAGAAAGCAGAACUCCUGUACCUAAGGUGUAGGGAACAUUACGGAACAGGGGAGAGGAAAGACUGUAAGAGCCAGAGAACAGGAAGUCUGCUGUGUGAUUGUUGAGACAGUGCCUCCUAAAAGUGACAGGGAUGCUACAUUCAUGAUCCAUCAACAAUGUCUCUCAAACAAGACCUGAACAGGAGAAACACCAGUAGACGUGCUGACAUGAGGGGAAAAUCUCAAGGGGCCCCAUCCCAGACAGGCAACUGAAAAAUGGGUCCCCAUCCCAGACACAGAACUACAGGCAACUGACAACUUGUGAGAGGGAGCAUUAAUCUUUCCCUAGGGAUGAGUGCCCUCAUUGGUUAUCACAUACAAGUGGUCAGCUCUGAAAUAAUACACAGAUAAACAACACAAAAUGUAUUCAGUGGGUCGUAUUUAUGUAUUCAUAUUUAUGCAUAGGUGUGUGUGCAAAAC
ensembl:lincRNA Gm4640 predicted gene 4640